UACGGAGGGUGCAAGCGUUAUCCGGAUUCACUGGGUUUAAAGGGUGCGUAGGUGGGUCUGUAAGUCAGUGGUGAAAUCUCCGUGCUUAACAUGGAAACUGCCAUUGAUACUAUAGGUCUUGAAUUUUCUGGAGGUCAGCGGAAUAUGUCAUGUAGCGGUGAAAUGCUUAGAUAUGACAUAGAACACCAAUUGCGAAGGCAGCUGGCUACAGGGAUAUUGACACUGAGGCACGAAAGCGUGGGGAUCAAACAGGA
rnacentral:rRNA from 1 species